rnacentral:rRNA from 1 species
UACGGAGGGUGCAAGUGUUAUCCGGAAUCACUGGGCGUAAAGCGUCUGUAGGUGGUUUAAUAAGUCAACUGUUAAAUCUUGAGGCUCAACCUCAAAAUCGCAGUCGAAACUAUUAGGCUAGAGUAUAGUAGGGGUAAAGGGAAUUUCCAGUGGAGCGGUGAAAUGCGUAGAGAUUGGAAAGAACACCGAUGGCGAAGGCACUUUACUGGGCUAUUACUAACACUGAGGGACGAAAGCUAGGGGAGCGAAAGGG